rnacentral:rRNA from 1 species
CGAGGAACUGCAGGGCGAACCAUGAGUCUCGAGACAGGUAGAGGUUGUCGGAACGAUAGGUGGAGUGGUGAAAUGCGUUGAUAUCUAUCGGAACGCCAAUGGAGAAGUCAGGCAACUGGGCCUGUUCUGACGCUAAGGCACGAAAGCGUGGGGAGCGAACGGGAUUAGAUACCCCGGUAGUCCACGCCGUAAACGAUGCGUACUAGGUUGGGGAAGCUCUGACGCUGUUCCCGGCUGAAGCAAAAGUAUUAAGUACGCCGCCUGGGGAGUACGGUCGCAAGGCUAAAACUCAAAGGAAUUGACGGGGGCUCACACAAGCGGUGGAGCAUGUGGCUUAAUUCGAAGCAACGCGAAGAACCUUAUCCUGGGCUUGACAUGUAUGGAUUAACCCUACGAAAGUAGGGCCACGCCCUCGGGUGGAACAUACACAGGUGCUGCAUGGCUGUCGUCAGCUCGUGCUGUGAAGUGUCGGGUUAAGUCCCUUAACGAGCGCAACCCCUGUCGUUAGUUGCUAGCAGGUAAUGCUGAGGACUCUAACGAGACUGCCGGUGUUAAACCGGACGAAGGUGGGGAUGACGUCAAGUCCGCAUGGCCUUUAUGCCCAGGGCUGCACACGUGCUACAAUGGCAGGUACAGAACGAUGCAAUACCGCGAGGUGGAGCAAAUCGCGAAAGCCUGCCCCAGUUCGGAUUGGAGGCUGCAACUCGCCUCCAUGAAGUUGGAAUCGCUAGUAAUCGCGGAUCAGCAUGCCGCGGUGAAUACGUUCCUGAGCCUUGUACACACCGCCCGUCAAGUCAUGGAAGCUGGUAGCGCCCGAAGUCGCCACGAUUCAGUGGUGCCCACGGCGAGACUGGUGACUGGGACUAAGUCGUAACAAGGUAGCCGUAGGGGAACCUGCGGCUGGAUCACCUCCUUUCU